rnacentral:sRNA from 1 species
GGGGUGAUGACUUUGAGUUUAUUGGAUCUAAAUGAAAAGUAUUACCGGCAUGAAGUUAAUAUAUAUAUAUCAUGUCCAAUAUAUUAUUUAGCUGUUUAAAAUGAUCUUAAAUUAAUUAAAAUGAGGAAUUAAGAUAAACUGGAAAAUUAUACUAGUACAAAAUAUAUCUAAGUAGGUGUGGAGCCAUCUUAGAUAAGUUAGAGAAUCUUAGAGAAAGGCGAGGACCCAUCUUCCAAAUUUCUUUCUAGGAAAGCACUUAAAUAUUGUCUCCAUAUAUCUAUGUUUUUAUCGUUCAAUCACUUCCAUGCAACACAUGGCUUAGUUUCUAUCUAUUAAAGAAAAUAAUCUCCAACUUUUGAAAACGAUAGAAGAUAAAAGAUGAGAGCUUUUUUUGGUUGUUGUGAUCCCUUUAAGCUUCGUGGCAUUUUCGACAAACUCUCCCGUCUUAUUCAUUUCUUUACGUUGCAAUUCGUAGUCACUUACCAUACGACACAACACAACACUUCUUCCUUACCUUAAACUAUUUCCUCGCUAUCAUCUUAAUACAAAAUUUUAAAACGACAAAUUUAUGGGUAUUUACUCAACACGAAACUUAUAACUGCUUAAAUUCAAACAACGAUAAUAUCCCAUAAGUAGCUAGGUAAAAAAAGGUAAACAUAAAUAAUAAAAAAGGAAGAGGAAACAAUAGUCAAUAACGUUGGAGAUAAAAUAUUAAAGAGAGAGAAAAAAAACAAGGUUGAUAAGCAAGGGAAUAUAAGCUAAGACAAGAAUAGAAGUUGUGAAGAAGUCCUUAUUGUUUUUGCUUAUGAAGAAGCAGAAGUGCGUUUGAGACAAAGACGGGAGGAGAAACCUGGAAGUUUUGGGUAGUUAUUUGAUGAGAAAAAGAAGGGCUUCACUUGUGCGGGAGAGGGCAAAUUCAGAGCCAUUACCGAACUUCAACCUCUAAUCUUCACGAAUGAAAAAUUGAACCAAUCAGAGCGUUAUAAAGUAGUUGUCCCAUAACCAGACAAAACGAUAACAAGAUAAAAAAACACAAAAAAUUCCACAACUAUGUGUGGUGUUAGACAUGCCAAUUCUAACGACCAAGCAAUUUUUCCUUCUCGCUCUUUUUUCUUCUGAGAAAAAUAAUUAUUUUUUUUCCUAUUGGUACACAU